AUGUCCAGGUUUCCCACACUUGAAACAAAUCACACCAGUAGGAGCAUCUCCCCCACUAGUCCUCUGACCAUGAGCAACUCUCUGCUUACCCUUACCAGCUGGGGCAUCAUAGGGUUUACCACGACUCUGUGGGUGCUUACCCCUUUUCUCCUUAAUAAUCUUGUAAUGUGCAUUGUUGUCUUGCUCAAAAAUUCUACAGUUAUCGACCAAAUCAGCAAAGACACGGAUCUUCUGGUAUCCAACUGCCUUCUUAAUUUUCGGGCGCAACCCAUUCUCAAAUUUAAUACACUUUGA